rnacentral:rRNA from 1 species
UACGGAGGAUGCGAGCGUUAUCCGGAUUUAUUGGGUUUAAAGGGUGCGUAGGCGGGAUGCCAAGUCAGCGGUAAAAUGCGGUGCUCAACGCCGUCGAGCCGUUGAAACUGGCGUUCUUGAGUGGGCGAGAAGUAUGCGGAAUGCGUGGUGUAGCGGUGAAAUGCAUAGAUAUCACGCAGAACUCCGAUUGCGAAGGCAGCAUACCGGCGCCCUACUGACGCUGAGGCACGAAAGCGUAGGUAUCGAACAGG